UUCCCCACCAUCUUGGAGAGAGAGGAGUCCCUCCAGACACCAGAGUGAGCAGAGCCAGGGAGCUCUGAGCCUACCCCCAAAGAGUGAGGGGUGGCAUAGGAAGUAUAAAGGCCCAAUCCCAGAGCUCACUGGGAGAGCAGCCGCUGGGGAGGCCAGACACCUCCGGCCUAGCUCACAAUUGGGAAACCCCAGCGGCCUGCAGUAAACCCGAGGACUGGCCCAGUCUGCCCCGUGCCAGCUACCAGGAGGAGUUGCUGAGCCUGCCCCACACCAGCUGUCCUGAGGAACCCAUGGUGAUGGACCCCCGAGGACACCACCCUGACCCAGAUUUAAAGCCAAGUCAGUGCAGCCUGGAAAAAACUUCAAUUGUUUGAGCUGCAUAAAAAGCACAAGACAAGAUUGAACUAUUUCUGCCUCUCAAGAAGUGGAUGCUGAGCUGACAACUCUCAGAGGCUGUUCUGGAGGGGAUCUGGAACCUACCAUCCUCUCUUUCAGUGAUAGAUCCAGCCCCUGGCAAGGAGAGAAAGAUUGGAAGAGGAAAACAAGCUGGGCCUGCUUUUUCAACUUCCAAUGAGUUUUUAAACUUUGAACGAACUAGUCAUUGAACCGGACUAGCUGAAUAAACUGAAAUUAAGAAAAUAUUCUCUCUCCAUCUGUGGAAGAGGCUUCUGCUGUUAAAAGCUGGUUUAGCACAU